rnacentral:rRNA from 1 species
UACAGAGGUCUCAAGCGUUGUUCGGAUUUAUUGGGCGUAAAGGGUGCGUAGGCGGCAGAUCAAGUUAGAUGCGAAAUACCCGGGCUUAACUCGGGAACUGCAUUUAAUACUGCUCUGCUCGAGUAUUAGAGAAGAAGCUGGAAUUUACGGUGUAGCAGUGAAAUGCGUAGAUAUCGUGAGGAACACCAGAGGCGAAGGCGGCUUCCUGGACAAUUGCUGACGCUCAGGCACGAAAGCGUGGGGAGCAAAAGGG